GAUGAACGCUAGCGGCAGGCCUAAUACAUGCAAGUCGAACGGGAUUAAGGAGCUUGCUUCUUAUGAGAGUGGCGCACGGGUGCGUAACACGUAUGCAACCUAUCUUCAACUGGGGGAUAGCCUUCCGAAAGGGAGAUUAAUACCGCAUAACAUAAUUGAGUGGCAUCACUUGAUUAUCAAACGUCAGGGUUGAAGAUGGGCAUGCGUCCGAUUAGUUAGUUGGUGAGGUAACGGCUCACCAAGGCUACGAUCGGUAGGGGAUCUGAGAGGAUGGCCCCCCACACUGGUACUGAGACACGGACCAGACUCCUACGGGAGGCAGCAGUAAGGAAUAUUGGUCAAUGGACGGAAGUCUGAACCAGCCAUGCCGCGUGCAGGAAGACGGUCCUCUGGAUUGUAAACUGCUUUUGUUAGGGAAGAAACUUCCGUACGUGUACGGGACUGACGGUACCUAAAGAAUAAGGAUCGGCUAACUCCGUGCCAGCCGCCGCGGUAAAAC
rnacentral:rRNA from 1 species